UUGAUAGGUUGGAUGUGGAAGCAUAGUGAUAUGUGAAGCUGACCAAUACUAAUUGCUCGUGAGGCUUGACUAUACAACACCCAAGCAGUUG
rnacentral:rRNA from 1 species